UCUCCGUAGGUGAACCUGCGGAGGGAUCAUUACUGAGUGAGGGUCUCCGGGCCCGACCUCCAACCCUUUUGUGAACCACCUCGUUGCUUCGGGGGCGACCCCGCCGUUUCGGCGGUGGCGCUCCCGGUGGCCAAUUAUUAAACUCUGCAUCUCUUGCGUCGGAGUCUUAAAGAAAUUUAAACAAAACUUUCAACAACGGAUCUCUUGGUUCUGGCAUCGAUGAAGAACGCAGC
rnacentral:misc_RNA from 1 species